AACUGACAGAAGAAUCCAGUUUGGAACAGGCCCAGUGCUGGGUUGGAUAAGCUCACGCCUCAAGAUAAGAAAACGACUGACCAUGCUGAACAAAGAGUACAAGGAAAAGUUUGGAUUUCCAUUUGUGGUUUGUGUUCGUGAGGCAUCUAAAUUUGAAGCAAUCCUCGCAGGUGUAACAGAACGAAUCAACAACAAUCCGGAACAAGAGAUUGAAAUUGGUAUCGGAGAAGUGAAAAAGAUUUGUAGAUUAAGAAUUCUAGAGUUAGUCAAUAAAUUAUAAUAAUC